GAAGUUUUCAGAGAUGAGAAUGUGCCUUCGGGAACCGUGAGACAGGUGCUGCAUGGCUGUCGUCAGCUCGUGUUGUGAAAUGUUGGGUUAAGUCCCGCAACGAGCGCAACCCUUAUCCUUUGUUGCCAGCGGUUAGGCCGGGAACUCAAAGGAGACUGCCAGUGAUAAACUGGAGGAAGGUGGGGAUGACGUCAAGUCAUCAUGGCCCUUACGACCAGGGCUACACACGUGCUACAAUGGCGCAUACAAAGAGAAGCGACCUCGCGAGAGCAAGCGGACCUCAUAAAGUGCGUCGUAGUCCGGAUUGGAGUCUGCAACUCGACUCCAUGAAGUCGGAAUCGCUAGUAAUCGUGGAUCAGAAUGCCACGGUGAAUACGUUCCCGGGCCUUGUACACACCGCCCGUCACACCAUGGGAGUGGGUUGCAAAAGAAGUAGGUAGCUUAACCUUCGGGAGGGCGCUUACCACUUUGUGAUUCAUGACUGGGGUGAAGUCGUAACAAGGUAACCGUAGGGGAACCUGC
rnacentral:rRNA from 8 species